CAUCUUCUUUCUCACCGCCUUCCUCCAUUGGGGUAUAUCCCCAACAAAAUACCGAAAAAAAAAAGAAAAAAAAACUUGGGUGGGACAGAUCCCGACAAGCAGUCGACAAAAGACACGGUACCAUGUCGAAAUUCAUGUAUGUAUUCAGGAUGGGAUGUCUCAUGAUCUUGGGAUGUCUCAUGACACCACACACGGUUCUAACACGCCCCGCCCCCAGACGACACCCAAGAAGAGUGCUGUGCUUUACAAGAGAAACACUCCAGACGAAGGAGAAGAACGUUUGAAGACACGGGUGCCGUUGCGAAGGCAAGGCAAUACUCCGUACCCAAACAGAAAACACUGCUGGCGCCUGGCGAGCCACUCGCGGCGCGGCACAAGCGGAAACGUGUAGGUGUGUUCCCCCGGCCUGACCCUGGCCCUGACCCUGACCCCACCUGCACGUGACCGCCUGCCGGCGGGCCAGGGCUGUGUUGUGGUGACCACCCCUGCUGCACACCAGCCCAACAACAACAGCCACGAACACCCUGUACUACCGGAGCUUGGAGGCCGUAGUCCCGUGGCCUGACCAGCCCCCAAAACGCGGAGGAGGAGGAUAUUUUCUGAGGGUUUCCCCAGGUACCCAUUUAUCGACCAGCCCGAGAAGGAGGAUGAACAGUUGGGUGAGCUGCACGCUGACUGCCCGGGCUGGGAUUCGAACCCAGGCACGCUGACCACUAGACUACGGAGACCAAUAGUUUUGGUAUAUUUACCCCCCUGAAGUUAUUUGAGAUUUUAGAUGCAUUAUUUUCUGGAUGUUGAUUGUUUAAAAGUUCAGGUUUUAUAUGAAUUAAACAAAUAAACUGCCUAAUAUUUUUGCUGUUAUAGACUGA